AAGAGUUUAGCAGUCACAGAUACAAUGACUCCUCACUUUAACCGGUUAAACUGUACCUAGAGUGUAACGGUACAAUCUUACUAUUAAGGAUUUGUAACAGAUACACGCUGUCUUGCAACAAAAAGUGAUGUCAGGUAAAUUGUAGUGUUGAUUGGUUUUAAAAUGUAUGAUUAUAGCCAAUACAGCCAGACAAGACUUCUGUUUUCUAGUUAUACACAGUCCAGCCCAGUAGGUGGCGGUAUGACCCUUGUUACAUGUUUUAGCUUUGCCAAAGGUAGGCUGGAACACGACUACAGAGAGAGCCAACAGUCAGGUUGCAAGAUGGCUAACGUUACGCUUCAGUCGUUUAACGUCUUUCUGACGGAAAGAUUAACAGCAGCUGCGGUAGACAUCUAUGGAUUCGUUGAGAAGACAAUAAUAGACUAUCAGGAGGAGGUGUACCAAACAAAACUGGAGAACCAGAGGUUGCAGCGGCUGCUGGAUUUGGUCUACAAACCAGAGAUAAGACUGCACAGGGCAGAUUCAAGGCAGAUCGAUUUGCCCACACCGACACAGGAGGAGUUUGUGCUCAGGAGCAGCAGAUACAGAAGGCAUGUAUUCCCAGUGAGGCCAACAAGGAGCCAGUCAUCCGGCCCAUUAAAGAGGAACUGAUUGAACUCUAGACCAGGUCUGUGGAGACACCUGAAUGUCCGCCAUAGAACAGUGUUACAGACACGAAUGUCCGGCAUACAUCAGUGUUACAGACACAUUAACUCAGAUUGUCCCUGUUGGGGUGUGUGAAGAAAAUGAGAUCCCAGACAUCCUAACUCGAGUUAUAACAGUCGGAGAGCACAUGGAAUAUGAGAUACCAUCACAAGAUGACCAACCAUUACCAUCCUUUGGAGUGUCUCCAGUGUACACAAAGAAGAAAAACAUGGUUUUUUUUUUUGUAAUAUUUUCUGUCAGCCUUUUCUGAAAAAAGUCAAAUUAAAAUUGCACCUCGCAGCUCAUGCAAGUUUAUCAAAGCUGGCCAAAACAGUGUACACCUGCUUCACCUUUGACAGACACCAGGAGUCAAGUGAUCAGCCACAUGAGAGCACGCCCACACGCUGAUGAGAAACCAUUUUCCAGUCGCAUUUGGGGUAACAGAUACAAACUGAAGUUCAUAUGAAAAGAACAUAUGAGGAGUCGCACUACAGAAAGGCCUUACAUCUGCUACAUCUGUGGGAAAAGCUUCAACAGAUCUUCGAGCAUGACUAAACACGCCAGGAUCAAACACGGGGAGAACAUGCCGUUUAAGUGCAUGCAGUGAAGCCAGCGCUUUCCUCUGCUCUUUGUGUUCAAACAGACCAUGAAGACAGUCCAUGAUGUCACCUUCUCUGUCUGAAAUUCUGUUGCUGUAACAACGCUGAUGCUGACUUCCGUUUAAAGUUGAGAAGAUACGCCGAGUCUGAUGGCUUCUUCUGGUGACGAGGGCUUCUUUACAGGUUUAUCUUUUAUGCUUGUAUGUUUUAUUGACGUUGGGGCUUCCCCAAAUUAGCUUUUAUUAUCCACUCCACUUAUACUCAAUCUUUUCAGAUGCUCCUGAUCAUAGAUAUAAAACAGUUUUAUAUCUAUGCUCCUGAUGAGCAGACCUAAAUGGAAUCAGCGGAUUGUUUUUUUUUUUUCAGUUUUCAGCGGAGAUGCUGAAUGAAAAUCUGCAGAAUGUAGCUGACUUUUGAUUUCUGCCUGGGGUAGAGAUGUUUUCAUUUCUGAGUUUCAUUAUUUAUUAUUUUUUUUGUUUAAAAAUCUGCAGCCUCAGAUUCCAUGUGGCUCUGCUGAUGAGUCGCUGUAAUUGUAAUCUGCUUCAAAUAUAACACGUAACAUGCUCAGUAGAAAUAUACUGAAACACUCGGUGUACCGAGCAAAUAGUUAAGUAACUGGAUUUUACAAGUGUAUAAAGCUACACCUGCAAAUCUCAAGGGCUUUUACUAUUACAUAAAAUUAGCUUUUUGCACUGUUUUAUUUAUUUGUUAAUAGCUUUGUUAUUGGCGGUUGUACUUCCUGAAAUUCUUCCUUAAAUCAUAUGUGACCUUGUUCUUAUUGGCAUGUAAUAUGUUGCCUGUUUUUGAAAAGUGUAAUGCCAAUAAAGUUACAGUACAUGUAA